rnacentral:pre_miRNA from 1 species
CUCUUGGUGUAUGUUUGAUAGCCAAUGGGAAUAACAGAUUCACUCUGAAUUAAUUCAAAAGCUACAUUACAUUACAUUUCGUAGCUUUUACAAACUGGUUCUGUCAUCUCCAUUGUGUUAUCGUACAUAGACUUGGAU